UCCCCUUCGGGGGACAAGUAGAGUGGCGCACGGGUGAGUAACACGUAGGUAAUCUACCUUCGGGUGGGGAAUAACAAUCGGAAACGGUUGCUAAUACCGCAUAAUGCAGCGGCACCUAAUGGUGACAGUUGUUAAAGCGGGGGAUCGCAAGAUCUCGCGCCUGAAGAGGAGCCUGCGGCGGAUUAGCUAGUUGGUAGGGUAAUGGCCUACCAAGGCGACGAUCCGUAGCCGGCCUGAGAGGGCGGUCGGCCACACUGACACUGACAUACGGGUCAGACUCCUACGGGAGGCAGCAGUCGGGAAUUUUGGGCAAUGGGCGAAAGCCUGACCCAGCAACGCCGCGUGAAGGAUGAAAUCCCUCGGGAUGUAAACUUCGCAAGAACGGGAAGAAUUAGUGGAAGUUAAUACCUUCCAUGAUGACGGUACCGUUUGCAAGCUCCGGCUAACUCCGUGCCAGCAGCCGCGGUAAUACGGGGGGAGCAAGCGUUGUUCGGAAUCAUUGGGCGUAAAGCGCGUGUAGGUGGAUAGGUAAGUCUGGUGUGAAAGCCCCGAGCUCAACUCGGGAAUUGCGCCCGAAACUACUUGUCUUGAGUACGGGAGAGGGAAGCGGAAUUCUUGGUGUAGGGGUGAAAUCCGUAGAUAUCAGGAAGAACACCGAUGGCGAAGGCAGCUUCCUGGACCGAUACUGACACUCAGACGCGAAAGCGUGGGGAGCAAACAGG
rnacentral:rRNA from 1 species